CCUACGGGUGGCAGCAGUGGGGAAUAUUGGACAAUGGGGGCAACCCUGAUCCAGCCAUGCCGCGUGUGUGAAGAAGGCCCUCGGGUUGUAAAGCACUUUCAGUGAGGAAGAACGCCUGGUGGUUAAUACCCAUCAGGAAAGACAUCACUCACAGAAGAAGCACCGGCUAACUCCGUGCCAGCAGCCGCGGUAAUACGGAGGGUGCGAGCGUUAAUCGGAAUUACUGGGCGUAAAGCGCGCGUAGGUGGCUUGAUAAGCCGGUUGUGAAAGCCCCGGGCUCAACCUGGGAACGGCAUCCGGAAGUGUCAGGCUAGAGGGCAGGAGAGGAAGGAAGAACUCCCGGUGUAGCGGGGAAAUGCGUAGAGAUCGGGAGGAAUACCAGCGGCGAAGGCGGCCCUCUGGACUGAGAGUGCCCCUGAGGUGCGAAAGCGUGGGCAGCAAUCAGGAUAAGCUACACCAGUAGUC
rnacentral:rRNA from 1 species